AAAGUCGUAACAAGGUUUCCGUAGGUGAACCUGCGGAAGGAUCAUUAUUGAAUCCAAAGGAUGUUGCUGGUCUCUCAGGAGGCAUGUGCACUCUGCCUUUCAUUUCACCUGUGAACUUAUUGUAGACCACUGGGGGUAUUGAAUCCAAAGGAUGUUGCUCGUCUCUCAUGGGACAUGUGCACUCCGCUUUUCAGGUAUUGAAUCCAAAGGAUGUUGCUCGUCUCUCAGUGGACAUGUGCACUCCGCCUUUCAAUUCACCUGUGAGCAUAUUGUAGGCUCUAGUGGUGUAUGUUUUUACACACACCCAAUAGUUUAUAGAAUGUCUAAUAGUAGGCCUUUUGGUCGAAACUUAAUACAACUUUCAACAAUGGAUCUCUUGGUUCUC
rnacentral:misc_RNA from 1 species